UCCUAUGGAUGAGCAAAGAAAGUGGUUUCUUCAGAAGAAACCUACUUCUGGUGAAGAUGCUGUGAA
rnacentral:pre_miRNA from 1 species